UCCCCUGCCGGCUGUCAGCACAGUGCCUGCGGACCGGGGAGGGAGAUCUGUGAUCUCCCCUCCGGUCCGCAGGCACAUUGCAGGCUGGUGCCU